AAGCAUCUUCCCUUUCACACACUCCUCUAGUCUUCCGUCACAUCUGUUCUGUUGUUUGCUCCCAUCUUCUUAUCAGUGUGUGUGUGUGCACGUGUGUGUGUGAUCAUGCCCAGAAAUCAAACUACAGCUACAACUGACCAAGGGAAUCAACUCCACACCAACUUAACACAAGUGACCCACGGCAUUCGGACAUCAGGUACGUGUGUGUGUGUGUGCAUUGGAGGACUCAAUUGGUGGACUCAAGGGGGGACAGGGUGGGCAACCACUUCCCUUGGUACCUCAAUGGUUGAAAAGGUGCGGAAAACGUGACCUCUAUUGGCUGCCUUUUAGAGUGCCCCUUCUUGCAAUAAAUUAGGAUGUUGUGUCUCA
rnacentral:lncRNA from 1 species